rnacentral:lncRNA from 1 species
UGACAAUAAAGGAAGUAAUCAUCUAAUAACAGCUACCAUCCAUGACACGUCUGCCAAUGCCAGCUCUUCAACCUGAAUGAUUUCAAUAGAUAGUACUGCUCCUAUGGUACAGAUGAAGGGAGUGGAGAGUGAAGAAUGUGUUCCCCAGAAAAGCAUCUUAAGAGAGUCUGAAGCUUGGAUGUGAGCAGCCCAAAUCAGGCCUGAUGCUGUGCACCUGCUCAGCUUUGCACCAGGGAAAGCUGCUGGCUUAUCACCACCUCAGGCUUUCUCCCAUUCCACAUCUUCCAGAAAUCCCCGGCUCCAAAAACUCAGUUUUCAAUUCAUGUGGCAGGUAGAAGAGCCAGACUACAAGUACAGUAAAAAUAUCAUGAGGAUUUUCACUGGCAAAAUGCAAAUAUAAAAAAGUAACAACAUGCCCUUCAUCCACUAAUUUUAUAAUUCUUCUGAGACAAGCGAUAAAGUUUUUUU